UGGGGAAUUUGGACAAUGGGCGAAAGCCUGAUCCAGCAAUGCCGCGUGUGUGAAGAAGGCCUUCGGGUUGUAAAGCACUUUUGUCCGGAAAGAAAUCCUUGGCUCUAAUACAGUCGGGGGAUGACGGUACCGGAAGAAUAAGCACCGGCUAACUACGUGCCAGCAGCCGCGGUAAUACGUAGGGUGCAAGCGUUAAUCGGAAUUACUGGGCGUAAAGCGUGCGCAGGCGGUUUGCUAAGACCGAUGUGAAAUCCCCGGGCUCAACCUGGGAACUGCAUUGGUGACUGGCAGGCUAGAGUAUGGCAGAGGGGGGUAGAAUUCCACGUGUAGCAGUGAAAUGCGUAGAGAUGUGGAGGAAUACCGAUGGCGAAGGCAGCCCCCUGGGCCAAUACUGACGCUCAUGCACGAAAGCGUGGGGAGCAAACAGGAUUAGAUACCCUGGUAGUCCACGCCCUAAACGAUGUCAACUAGUUGUUGGGGACUUCAUUUUCCUUAGUAACGUAGCUAACGCGUGAAGUUGACCGCCUGGGGAGUACGGUCGCAAGAUUAAAACUUAAAUGAAUUG
rnacentral:rRNA from 1 species